UUGUGUUCUACCAGGAUGUGGUGCUGUUCUACUACAGUCAGUGGUGUGGCUAUAAAACGUGUUGUGUUCUCCAGGAUGUGGUGCUGUUCUACUACAGUCAGUGGUGUGGCUAUA
rnacentral:lncRNA from 1 species